CAAUACCCAACCAAACGCCACACACGUAUCGGCACCGCCUUCGGGGUGCUGCGCUCGAUCCCAUCAUUUAAUGGGACGUUCGCGGUCGAAGUCGGGGGUACGUGGAGGUCCCAAC
rnacentral:sRNA from 2 species